rnacentral:tRNA from 1 species
GGUAGGUUGCCAGAACUGGUAAUGGCCCCGUCUUGAAAACGGAGAGCACGGAUACGUGAUGAGGGUUCGAGUCCUUCACCUACCG